UCCCUGUCUUCAAUCCUGUAGU
rnacentral:miRNA from 1 species